AAAGUAGAAGUUUUUAUAAUAUUUGACCUGCAAUCAAGAGAAGGUAACUUUGUUACCCUACUUUG
rnacentral:tRNA from 1 species